rnacentral:rRNA from 1 species
CAGCCGCCGCGGUAAUACGUAGGGGGCGAGCGUUGUCCGGAAUUAUUGGGCGUAAAGCGCGCGCAGGCGGUCCCUUAAGUCUGAUGUGAAAGCCCACGGCUCAACCGUGGAGGGUCAUUGGAAACUGGGGGACUUGAGUGCAGAAGAGGAGAGCGGAAUUCCACGUGUAGCGGUGAAAUGCGUAGAGAUGUGGAGGAACACCAGUGGCGAAGGCGGCUCUCUGGUCUGUAACUGACGCUGAGGCGCGAAAGCGUGGGGAGCAAACAGGAUUAGAUACCCUGGUAGUCCACGCCGUAAACGAUGAGUGCUAAGUGUUAGAGGGGUGAAACCCUUUAGUGCUGUAGCUAACGCGUUAAGCACGCCGCCUGGGGAGUACGGCCGCAAGGCUGAAACUUAAAGGAAUUGGCG